rnacentral:rRNA from 1 species
GACGAACGCUGGCGGCGUGCCUAAUACAUGCAAGUCGAGCGCAGGAAAUCGACGGAACCCUUCGGGGGGAAGUCGACGGAAUGAGCGGCGGACGGGUGAGUAACACGUAAAGAACCUGCCCUCAGGUCUGGGAUAACCACGAGAAAUCGGGGCUAAUACCGGAUGGGUCAUCGGACCGCAUGGUCCGAGGAUGAAAGGCGCUUCGGCGUCGCCUGGGGAUGGCUUUGCGGUGCAUUAGCUAGUUGGUGGGGUAAUGGCCCACCAAGGCGACGGUGCAGAGCAGACGUGAGAGGGUGAUCGGCCACACUGGGUCUGAGACACGGCCCAGACUCCUCCGGGAGGCAGCAGUAGAGAAUCUUCCACAAUGGACGAAAGUCUGAUGGAGCAACGCCGCGUGAACGAUGAAGGCCUUCGGGUCGUAAAGUUCUGUUGUAAGGGAAGAACAAGUGCCGCAGGCAAUGGCGGCACCUUGACGGUACCUUGCGAGAAAGCCACGGCUAACUACGUGCCAGCAGCCGCCGUAA